rnacentral:rRNA from 1 species
CUUUAUUGGAGAGUUUGAUCCUGGCUCAGGACGAACGCUGGCGGCGUGCCUAAUACAUGCAAGUCGAGCGA